ACGGAAGGCAGCAGUGGGGAAUAUUGCACAAUGGGGGAAACCCUGAUGCAGCGACGCCGCGUGAGCGAUGAAGUAUUUCGGUAUGUAAAGCUCUAUCAGCAGGGAAGAUAAUGACGGUACCUGACUAAGAAGCACCGGCUAAAUACGUGCCAGCAGCCGCGGUAAUACGUAUGGUGCAAGCGUUAUCCGGAUUUACUGGGUGUAAAGGGAGCGUAGGCGGUUUUAUAAGUCUGAAGUGAAAGCCCGGGGCUCAACCCCGGGACUGCUUUGGAAACUGUAGAACUAGAGUGUCGGAGGGGUAAGUGGAAUUCCUAGUGUAGCGGUGAAAUGCGUAGAUAUUAGGAGGAACACCAGUGGCGAAGGCGGCUUACUGGACGAUUACUGACGCUGAGGCUCGAAAGCGUGGGGAGCAAACAGGAUUAGAUACCCUGGUA
rnacentral:rRNA from 1 species